rnacentral:rRNA from 1 species
GAUGAACGCUGGCGGCGUGCCUAAUACAUGCAAGUCGAGCGAACAGACGAGGAGCUUGCUCCUCUGACGUUAGCGGCGGACGGGUGAGUAACACGUGGAUAACCUACCUAUAAGACUGGGAUAACUUCGGGAAACCGGAGCUAAUACCGGAUAAUAUAUUGAACCGCAUGGUUCAAUAGUGAAAGACGGUUUUGCUGUCACUUAUACAUGGAUCCGCGCCGCAUUAGCUAGUUGGUAAGGUAACGGCUUACCAAGGCGACGAUGCGUAGCCGACCUGAGAGGGUGAUCGGCCACACUGGAACUGAGACACGGUCCAGACUCCUACGGGAGGCAGCAGUAGGGAAUCUUGCGCAAUGGGCGAAAGCCUGACGGAGCAACGCCGCGUGAGUGAUGAAGGUCUUCGGAUCGUAAAACUCUGUUAUUAGGGAAGAACACAUGUGUAAGUAACUAUGCACGUCUUGACGGUACCUAAUCAGAAAGCAACGGCUAACUACGUG